rnacentral:miRNA from 2 species
GUGCCUACUGAACUGGUAUCAGU